AACGAACGCUGGCGGCAGGCCUAACACAUGCAAGUCGAGGGAGAAACCAUUUUCGGAUGGCGGAGACCGGCAGACGGGUGAGUAACACGUGGGAAUAUACCUAGUAGUGGGGGAUAACAGUUGGAAACGACUGCUAAUACCGCAUACGCCCUUCGGGGGAAAGAUCUAUCGCUAUUAGAUUAGCCCGCGUUAGAUUAGCUAGUUGGUAAGGUAAGAGCUUACCAAGGCGACGAUCUAUAGCUGGUUUGAGAGGAUGAUCAGCCACACUGGGACUGAGACACGGCCCAG
rnacentral:rRNA from 1 species